UUCGAUGAUUCGACUGUUGGAUCAUCACCAAACCUUAAUACGUUAUUGUAUGCAAUAUUUAAGGACCAUAGGAACUAACGUUUUUCGAAUCCGAUGUAGGAAUUUUCCCAAGUUGAAUUUCUAUGUUUGUAAAACCAAACGUUGAUAGCAACCUAAUUCUACCAAUUAGCGGAGAUCCGACCGUUGGAUCAUUCCGAAAUUUUAGAAUAUUAUUCUAGAAGAUAAAUGAGACCCUUGGGAAGUUACGGAUUGGAAAUCCAUGGCCGGAUGUUCCAGAUUGACUUGUAUAGGGUUGUGGACCCCACCUUUGACAGAGACUUGACUUUUGGUCAAUAUGCUAUGAAUUGAUCUUAAUUAGUAAAAUCAGUAUUACUAGAGACUAUGUAGGGCUUAGUGGGCCUAUAUUGGUUAGUGAGUUAUCCCAGAUAAUAUAUACAUCGAUUUACGUGUAUGGGACGUCAUAUUGUGAUAUAUGUGUUUAUUUAUCUUCUUAAUAAUGUGAAUGAUAAGUAUGAUAAAUGUUAUGACAAUGUGAUCCUAGAAUCCUAUUAAAAGUAUUCUGUAGAACUUAUAUGCUUGUGUGACAUAUUAGUUAGUGGCCCUGAGAAGUUGAUGGUGCAGGUGACUAUUUUGUAACUUAUAGGGGUUGAGGUAUGAGUAGGUUGUGUGUUUAAUUUAUUACACCAUGUAGCAAUGGUACAUGGAUGGUCUUGCUUGGUAUAUCCGCGAUGGGGGACUGUUAGGGGUGAUCAUGUUUGGUAUAUCUGUGAUGGGUAAUCACUGCCUACUUUAUUAGACUAUGCAUAUGGUUCUGCUUGGUAUAUCCGCGAAGGGAGACCAUACGUAUUCUAGGAGUGAUUAUGAUUGGUAUAUCCGCAAUGGGUGAUCACUUCCUAGAGUUAGGAUGUGGUCCUGCUUGGUAUAUCUGCGAUGGGGGACCAUAUGUAUUCAGGGGUGAUCAUGCUUGGUAUAUCUGCGAUGGGUGAUCACUGUCUACACGGUGAAAUUAUGCCUAUGGUUCUGCUUGGUAUAUCAGCGAUGGGGGACCAUACGCAUUCUAGGGAUGAUGAAGAUUAGUUAUACUUGGUACAUUUUGAUAGGCGAUCAUAUUUUUGUUGGAUUUCAUUGAGUGGUCCGGAAUCCCUACUCUUGCUCAUUUCCAUAAAGUUAGUCUGACCCCUAGGUUCGAGUGAGUAUGAAUUGCUCACAGUAGACGUUAUGUUUAUAAAUUAGAAUUAUCAUGUUAUUACUUGGAAGCCAGGUAAGGAAUUAUGUAGAAUUCCUUUAUUAAAUUUCAUGUAUUGAAAUGCGAUCUUAUUGAUUGAUUAAUGUAGUUAAAUGUUAAUAUAAUGCAUCUCUGAUUCUUAGGACUGAUUAAUUGGAAUGAUUGUGGAAUGAUGUUGGAUAUGAUUGUUAUUAUUAUGAUUACACUUGUUGGCCAAUGUGGCUAGAGAAUAAGAUUGUGCUUCGUUGACUGUUAUUUGAGAUGUUGCAUACUAUGAAUUGCAGUACUAUGUGAAACAUAGUGAUUUAUAUGAUGGAUGAAUUGGAAAUCUUGAUUGUCAUAUGGGUUUGUUAUGUAGCUGUGAGUCUAAUAAUUUCAUGCUUGUCAAGUUCUAAUGAAUGAUUGAGGAAUGUUAUACCUUUUCGACUUAAACGGGUUGUGAUGUUUGUUGAAUUGUAGUAAAUGGUGAAGUAUGAAUGGCUUGAUCCCUAUUUAGGGUACGUAGGCAGUCUAAUGAGGACGUUAGAUGCAACAUAAAAUAUACGAAAAUUUCUUCGAAUCUUGAAUUAUGCUUUGUACAUAUCCUGGAGGCGGGUCUAUUGGAUAUACGGAUACUUGGUGACGUCACGUGUUGAUCCUGAACGUAUGUCGGGAUCGGGGCAUGACAACUUUUAGUGAUAUUAGAGCUUAGGUAUUAGGUCUAAGUACCUUUACAUGUGGAUGUUAAAAAUUGUAUUAUGGAAUUGGUAUUGUUAUUGAUGACAUGGCUAUGUUUGUGAUUGUUUUGUGUGGUGAAUUGAAGUUCGAAACCGUCGAACUUGAGGUUAGCUUAAUAUGAGAAUAGAUGAAGUGUGAACGUCAUUCAGUGUUUCAUUAUCAGUGGAAUUAUUGCUAAUUGAGUUGGUGGGGUUGACAAUGGAAAUUUCGACGACGAAAUUUUUUUAGGGGGAAGAAUGUGAAUUCCCGUCCCUGGAUUUCACUAUUUAAAAUUACAUAUCUCGCAUUUCGUAUUCAUAUUCGUAGGAUGAAAUUACCCCUAUUGUGUUAAACGAGAUUCUUUGUGGACGUACUUGAUAUUUUCAUAAUUUUUUUAGAUUUCUUUGCAUAUCUGAAAGGUACAUGUCGAUACAAAUGUGUGGGCGCAAACGAAACGAAAAUUGGAGUUAUAACGAAUGAGUUAUUAACGAACAAAGACAAUGGCAAAAUAGUGUUGGAAAUGUGCCCUAAAACCAAUCAUGUGAUGAUACUUUACGGACAUUUCAUAUGUUAAACUAAUCUAGUUUAAUAUCAAGGGCAAAGAUUAUUGUUUUAAGCCGUCUCAUAUAAAUGUUAUAUGCUUAAACGAUAAGUCCAAGGAAUAUGUAAUUAGGAGAAUGUAAUUUAAACAAGUUAGAUUUAUGAGACCAUUCUCUUUCGUAUACAUAUCCUGAACGUUCCUGAUCAUAGGAUUGCCAAUUGGGCAUUGACAGUCCGUUAAGAUCAGUACGUGAUGUGUCUUCUCUCAUGGAGAGUGACUGGUCUCGAGUCAUUGGUGUGAUUGACAACAAGACAAGCAUGUAGGUGCUCAAUAGCGAAUGAGUCCACUGAACACGAUCAACAAAGAGUUCUCAUACUCAUGUCACAUGAGAACUCAUGGUUGGGAUAAUGCAAAGUAGUCCUCUGACCUGAGGCAUCAUAUUUAUCUUGUGGUUAGGUCCUUGAUCUUUGAUUAUGUCAAAGUCACUCCAUUCGCGGGUGUCCACGGCAUAGUUGGGGUUAAGUCACUUAGCCAUAGAGGCAAGUGAAUGCGCAACAAGUGAUCUCUAACCUUCAAACCGUUUGAGGGAGAAUACUCUAUGAUAUGAUUAAGAAUCUCUGGCCAGAGUAUGAAU
rnacentral:lncRNA from 1 species